rnacentral:rRNA from 1 species
AACGAACGCUGGCGGCAGGCUUAACACAUGCAAGUCGAGCGCCCCGCAAGGGGAGCGGCAGACGGGUGAGUAACGCGUGGGAACGUACCCUUUGCUACGGAAUAGCUCCGGGAAACUGGAAUUAAUACCGUAUGUGCCCUACGGGGGCAAGAUCUAUCGGCGAAGGAUCGGCCCGAGUUGGAUUAGCUAGUUGGUGUGGUAAUGGCCUACCGAGGCGACGAUCCAUAGCUGGUCUGAGAGGAUGAUCAGGCACAUUGGGACUGAGACACGUCCCAAACUCGUACGGGAGGCAGCAGUUGUGAAUAUUGGACAAUGGGCGAAAGCCUGAACCAGCCAUGCCGCUUGAGUGAUGAUGGACUGAGGGUUGUAAAGCUCUUUCACCGGAGAAGAUGAUGGCGGUAUCCGGAGAGGAAGCCCCGGCUAACUUCGUGCCAGCCGCCGCAGUAAGAC